GAUGAACGCUAGCGAUAGGCUUAACACAUGCAAGUCGAGGGGCAGCAUGGUCUUAGCUUGCUAAGACUGAUGGCGACCGGCGCACGGGUGCGUAACGCGUAUGCAACUUGCCUCACAGAGGGGGAUAACCCGUCGAAAGACGGACUAAUACCGCGUACACUCCAGCUUGGGCAUCCAAGCUAGAGGAAACGAAAUUCGCUGUGAGAUAGGCAUGCGUCCCAUUAGCUAGUUGGUGAGGUAACGGCUCACCAAGGCAACGAUGGGUAGGGGAACUGAGAGGUUGAACCCCCACACUGGUACUGAGACACGGACCAGACUCCUACGGGAGGCAGCAGUGAGGAAUAUUGGUCAAUGGGCGAGAGCCUGAACCAGCCAAGUCGCGUGAAGGAUGACUGUCUUAUGGAUUGUAAACUUCUUUUGUAGGGGAAUAAAGAACGGUACGUGUACCGUA
rnacentral:rRNA from 1 species